AACGAACGCUGGCGGCGUGGAUAAGACAUGCAAGUCGAACGGGAUUAUUUUUGUAGCAAUACAGAAAUAAUUCAGUGGCGAACGGGUGCGUAACACGUGGGCAAUCUGCCGAAAAGUGGGGGAUAGCUCGCCGAAAGGACGAAUUAAUACCGCAUGUGGUGAGGGACGACAUCUUCCUGAAUCCAAAGCCGGGGCAACCUGGCGCUUUUUGUAGGAGCCCGCGGCCUAUCAGCUAGUUGGCGGGGUAACGGCCCACCAAGGCUAUGACGGGUAGCUGGUCUGAGAGGACGACCAGUCACACUGGAACUGAGACACGGUCCAGACACCUACGGGUGGCAGCAGUCGAGAAUUUUUC
rnacentral:rRNA from 1 species